UACGGAAGGUCCAAGCGUUAUCCGGAUUUAUUGGGUUUAAAGGGUGCGUAGGCGGCUUAUUAAGUCAGUGGUGAAAGCUCCAUGCUUAACGUGGAAAUUGCCAUUGAUACUGAUGAGCUUGAGUAGAUUUGAAGUGGGCGGAAUGUGUCGUGUAAGCGGUGAAAUGCUUAGAUAUGACACAGAACACCGAAUUGCGUAGGCAGCUCA
rnacentral:rRNA from 1 species